CCUACGGGAGGCAGCAGUGGGGGAUAUUGCACAAUGGGGGAAACCCUGAUGCAGCGACGCCGCGUGUGGGAAGACGGUCCUCUGGAUUGUAAACCACUGUCCCCAGGGACGAAGAUGACGGUACCUGGGGCGGAAGCUCCGGCUAACUACGUGCCAGCAGCAGCGGUAAUACGGAGGUAGCGAGCGUUGUCCGGAAUUACUGGGUGUAAAGGGAGCGUAGGCGGGACUGCAAGUUGGUUGUCAAAUCUACCGGCUCAACCGGUAGCCGUACUCAAAACUGCAGUUCUUGAGUGAAGUAGAGGCAGGCUGAAUUCCUAGUGUAGCGGUGAAAUGCGUAGAUAUUAGGAGGAACACCAGUGGCGAAGGCGGCCUGCUGGGCUUUGACUGACGCUGAGGCUCGAAAGUGUGGGGAGCAAACAGGAUUAGAUACCCUUGUAGUC
rnacentral:rRNA from 1 species